GGCGCUGUGACGGAGUGGUUAACGUGAUGCCCUGCUAUGUCUCUGGCAUAGGGUUAGGCAUUUCCUUCGGGAGCGCAGGUUCGAAUCCUGCCGGCGUCG
rnacentral:tRNA from 1 species